ensembl:lncRNA
CCAACCCUGAAUUCAUCCCCUCAGCAUCCCCACUUCCUGCGCCCCUGGGUGCCACUGUGUUGGCCCUAUUGUUGUGUUUGAUCCCCCAUGAUGCCACAGCCAUCUCUGGCGGGGAGUCAGGGAAGCCUAAUCGACCUUGCCCUAUCGGAAUAGCAGCAUGUAGAAGGAAGCACACGCUUGCUUUUGCCCUCCCAGUUUGGUAACAUCGUAUGAAGCAGGGACCUUGCAGGAGGAUCUGCCCACGACCAUAUUGCUGGUGUGCCUCUGGAUCCAUAAAUGAGACUAAAGCGAUGGGAGAAAGGAAAAUACAAGGGGCUGAGGGCCAUCUACAACGUUGUCUCCAGAGGAAAUAAGCACAAGCUAGUCUGAAGUGGUGAAACGCUACAACUCCAACGCUCCUCUACAGGAAACCCCUCCGUAAGUGCAUAUGCUGUGGCCGGAAUGGAAUGAUCACUGGUUGGAGUGAAAUCUCCAGCUAACGUGAAAAAAAGAUCAACAAUUUUUUGGAUUCGACUCUGGACAUCUUUUGCACCUUGUCUACAAAACAGAAACAGCUGACUAUCCUGCCAGAAUACUGUGAGGCUCAGUCCAGCCUAGUAGAAACUAAAAGUGACAUCCCAAGCU